UAGGAAAUUUUUUUAAUGCCGGUUAAAGUCGUGCCAGCUGCCGCGGUUAAACGGGGGGCGUGAAUUAAUGUUGUUCAGCGUGAUAGUUAGGUUGUUGAUGGUUGCAAUGGUUAUUUAAAAGUUGUUAGGUGAAAUUAUUAAUUUUUAUGUUUAAGUUUGGGUUAAAGAUUUAUUGAAACUAUGAAGUUAAGUUUAAGGACUAGGAUUAGAUACCCUAUUAUUUUUAAUGUGAAUAUUCAAUGUUUGUAGGUAAAAUUUGAAGGGUUGGAGUAGUAGGAGAUGUGUUCUUUAAACUCAAAGAAUUUGGCGGUAUUUUAGUCCUUUCAGAGGAACUUGCCCUGUAAUUGAUAGUCCACAUUAAAAUUUACUUGAUUUAGUUUGUCAGCUUGUAUACCGCCGUCGUCAAAAUGUCCUAUUAGGGGAUAAAUUUUUUUUGUUUUUAUUUAAAAAAGAUGUCAGGUCAAGGUGCAGUUUAUGAUUAAGAUAGAGGUGGGUUACAAUAAAGUUAUUUAUUUAUGGAUAAUUAAUUGUAAUAUAUGGAUUAGUUUGAAGGUGGAUUUGAUUGUAAUUUCUAUGAUUGAGUAGAAUUGAUUUCUUGGCUCUAAAGUGUGUACACAUCGCCCGUCGCUCUCAUUUUAAGAUGAGAUAAGUCGUAACAUAGUAGAUGUACUGGAAAGUGUAUCUGGUAAGUUUAAU
rnacentral:ncRNA from 1 species